rnacentral:rRNA from 1 species
CCCUUAGAUGUUCUGGGCCGCAUGCGCGCUACACUGAUGCAUUCAACGAGUCUAAAACCUGCUCUGAUAGGGGUGGGUAAUCUUUUGAAUGUGCAUCGUGAUUGGGAUAGAUGAUUGCAAUUUUUCAUCUUCAACGAGGAAUGCCUAGUAAACGCAAGUCAUCAGCUUGCAUUGAUUACGUCCCUGCCCUUUGUACACACCGCCCGUCGCUCCUACCGAUUGAAUGAUCCGAUGAAUAUCAUGGAUUGAGGAUGUAAGCAGGUUCGCCUGUCUUCAUCUUCGAGAAGUGAAGUAAAUCUUAUCAUUUAGAGGAAGGAGAAGUCGUAACA